GAACCCAGAAAUCUGUUGCAGGUAUAGAAUGCUUUGACUCUGUGACUUGAAUUUAGAACAUCUCCUCAGAGUCAUACCAGCUUUGAUUUGGAAGAGGUCCUAACAGAUAUAUUUUGUGUGUCUUUGGGAUUAGGAAGUGGGAGUGCUGCCAUCGGGCUCUCUUAGUUGAGAACAAGGAUCCAGAGGAGGUGGAAGUUCCCAGCACAAUCCAGAGCCCUGUGUGGACACUGAUCUCCAUAAGGACUGUUUAUUGCCGGGACCCUGCUGCACCAGAAAGAUAAGAAGGAGGAGGAAGAGGAGAAGAGAGGUGCACAAUGCCAUUACUGAGAAAAGAGCCAGCAAUUUUGAAUUCCCCAUUGGACCAGGAGCAGCAGUCCUGGUAAAUGUUCAACAACUGGCUCUGCAGAGAACUUUGAGAAACUUCUGUGCUUUAAAGAAAUUCUGCUGAGAACCCUCUGCCCAGAUGCCAGUCCCCACUGGAUGUUGUCUUCCAAGCAUUCAAAGUGAUGGGAGUCAGGACCUCGUGAAGAACAGCUUGUCCUGUGGAAGCUUUUUUACUUAAAUCACUCAUUAACUCUGGAGGGUGAAAAGCACAGUGUCAUGGAAAACUUUGGGCUGACAUUUCAGGGGUAGGACUUGAAGGCAGUUUAAACACAGCGUGUGGGUACCUGUUCCCUGGAUGAUGCUCAGAGCCAUUGAUGACUGUGGGAGGUUCCUCUUUUGUGGCUUCACUUUUGAAAUAGACAAGACAUGAUAGAGGGAAACGAGUUCUUCUUUCUCAGCCUCAUUUGAGCACUUUUUGUAUUGUAGUUAUAGAACUCAGAUAAGCCAAUAAAAGCUAGAUCAGCACUUCC
rnacentral:lncRNA from 1 species